UUUUGUUCCUCAUACAUUCUCCAGCUAGAGCUCCGUUAGGGCACACUGUCUUCUCCUAUUUCCAAGCUAACAAAAACAUCUCGUACCUUCUGCUCACUACUCGAGUUCCUGGAGCUGUGAUAUCCCUUAGUUAGGGUCUUUUGCUUUCUGUACCCAAAACAAAGAUGUAGGAAAUUCUGGGAGUAGGCCCGGUGGUAGCAGUGGUGCAACUUAGGGGAUCUGUUUGUGUGACUCUCAGGAGCAGUCUAUGGCCUAAGUGCCUUUUUGUAAUCUCAUGCUCUAGAGGAACAUCGUCUUUUGUAAAACUUUUAACUUUCUCUUAUGUUGUUUAUGGCAUAGUGGUAUGCCCAAAUUUAUUUUCACAGUACACUU